UGAACGGUGGCGGCAGGCCUUAGACAUGCAAGUCGAACGGUAACAGCAGAGCUUGCUCUGGCUGACGAGUGGCGGACGGGUGAGUAACGCGUAGGAAUCUACCCAGUAGCGGGGGAUAGCCCGGGGAAACCCGGAAUAAUACCGCAUACGCCCCACGGGGGAAAGAGGGCCUCUUCUUGAAAGCUCUCACUAUUGGAGGAGCCUGCGUUGGAUUAGCUAGUUGGUGGGGUAAAGGCCUACCAAGGCGACGAUCCAUAGCUGGUCUGAGAGGACGAUCAGCCACACUGGAACUGAGACACGGUCCAGACUCCUACGGGAGGCAGCAGUCAGGAAUAUUGUGCAAUGGGGGAAACCCUGACACAGCCAUGCCGCGUGUGUGAAGAAGGCCUUAGGGUUGUAAAGCACUUUCAGUAGGGAGGAACUAGCAGCGUUAAUACCGCUGUGAGAUGACGUUACCUACAGAAGAAGAUCCGGCUAACUCCGUGCCAGCAGCCGCGGUAAUACGGAGGGAUCGAACGUUAAUCGGAAUUACUGGGCGUAAAGCGCGCGUAGGUGGUUUGUUAAGUGGGAUGUGAAAGCCCCGGGCUCAACCUGGGAACUGCAUUCCAAACUGACAAACUAGAGUACGAUAGAGGGGGGUAGAAUUCAGAGUGUAGCGGUGAAAUGCGUAGAUAUUCUGAGGAAUACCGGUGGCGAAGGCGGCCCCCUGGAUUGAUACUGACACUGA
rnacentral:rRNA from 1 species